AUACGGAGGAUCCGAGCGUUAUCCGGAUUUAUUGGGUUUAAAGGGUGCGUAGGCGGCACUUUAAGUCAGGGGUGAAAGACGGCAGCUCAACUGUCGCAGUGCCCUUGAUACUGAAGUGCUUGAAUGCGGUUGAAGACGGCGGAAUGAGACAAGUAGCGGUGAAAUGCAUAGAUAUGUCUCAGAACACCGAUUGCGAAGGCAGCUGUCUAGGCCGUUAUUGACGCUGAUGCACGAAAGCGUGGGGAUCGAACAGGAUUAGAUACCCUGGUAGCCCACGCCCUAAACGAUGAUGACUCGAUGUUUGCGAUAUACCGUAAGCGUCCAAGCGAAAGCGUUAAGUCAUCCACCUGGGGAGUACGCCCGCAAGGGUGAA
rnacentral:rRNA from 1 species